rnacentral:misc_RNA from 1 species
GAUGAAGAACGCAGUGAAAUGCGAUAAGUAGUGUGAAUUGCAGAAUUCAGUGAAUCAUCGAAUCUUUGAACGCACAUUGCGCCCUUUGGUAUUCCAAAGGGCAUGCCUGUUCGAGCGUCAUUUGUACCCUCAAGCUUUGCUUGGUGUUGGGCGUCUUGUCUCUAGCUUUGCUGGAGACUCGCCUUAAAGUAAUUGGCAGCCGGCCUACUGGUUUCGGAGCGCAGCACAAGUCGCACUCUCUAUCAGCAAAGGUCUAGAAUCCAUUAAGCCUUUUUUUCAACUUUUGACCUCGGAUCAGGUAGGGAUACCCGCUGAACUUAAGCAUAUCAAUAAGCGGAGGA